rnacentral:rRNA from 1 species
CCCUUAGAUGUUCUGGGCUGCACGCGCGCUACACUGAAGCUAUCAACACGUUUUCCCUCCCUGAGAAGGGCGGGUAACCUUUUGAAUCAGCUUCGUGGUAGGGAUCGGGGCUUGCAAUUGUUCCCCGUGAACCAGGAAUUCCUAGGAGACGCGAGUCAUAAGCUCGCAUCGAUUAAGUCCCUGCCCUUUGUACACACCGCCCGUCGCUACUACCGAUUGAACGUUUUAGUGAGGCAUUUGGACCGACGCAUCUCAGUUUAACCGCUGGUUUGUGUUGGAAAGACUUCCAAACUUGAGCGUUUAGAGGAAGUAAAAGUCGUAACA